AGCGCACCAACAUCUUCCGCUGAGCUGAUAGCCUACUUAGAGGGCUCUCGACCUGUCUAUUGGGACCUGCGGGCAUGAAAUGCAGCAUCCCCAGGCAAAAGGGACGUCAAUACGAAUAAUGUACCGAGUAUGUAAGGAACAUAAAUAAGUAUACAAUAGACAUGGAAGAAAUAUAGAGUAAAUAACUCAACUUGUNNNNNNNNNNNNNNNNNNNNNNNNNCAUAACAUCAUCAAGCCUCUGAGGUCAUCCCAUCAUAUCAUCUUGGCCACUGUGGGUAAAUCAUCAAUAUAUACCAGUUGAUCAGGUGGUGAUGUGUAUAUAAUGCCGUAACCUUUUCCCAUGUCCCAUAUACAUAUAUAUACAUAUAUAUGCGUAUAUACCGCCGUCUGAGUCAUGGGUAAAUGCACAUGUAAAUGAAUGCAAUGCAUGAGAAGUACUUUAAUAAAACUUCUCGGAACAUCAUAAUACCAUUAUACCUCUGAUUAAUAUCAUGAAAUAAACUUUUUUUUUCAAUUACGUAUUUUUCUAAGACCCAUGAACAGAAGAUGUAAUAAUAAGACAUAUGGGAAUUCAAGAAUAUAGGCACAUCUAAUACUUCUAUGAAUAGAGUCAUUUAUAGAAUAACAUUACCUUUACCUAUCGUUACUUGGAUUAUGCCAAAAGAAAAAAGGGAUGGUCAUACCGUACCUUUAUCGCCAAAUUUCUACUUGUAUCCAUGAAUAAUCACCUUAAAAAUGGACGAAAGACGAUGUUUUAAUUACUGCACAAGCCAAUCAUCAUCUAGUUUACCAAUUAUAGAUUGAAAUAUUGAAAGAGAAAGCUCAUUUCUCAGUAUAUCCUUGACAAUGAAAUCGAAAAUGGAUUUGGGGAAUCCUUCAGCCAUAGUUUGAGGAGAAGAAAAAGAAUGGUAUCUAUAGAAUAAGAACAAGAAAGAAGAGAGAUGCCAAAUUGGUUAACUUUAGC
rnacentral:lncRNA from 1 species